CGAACGAUGAAGCCCUUCGGGGUGGAUUAGUGGCGAACGGGUGAGUAACACGUGGGCAAUCUGCCCUUCACUCUGGGACAAGCCCUGGAAACGGGGUCUAAUACCGGAUACGACUGCGGGAGGCAUCUCCUGUGGUGGAAAGCUCCGGCGGUGAAGGAUGAGCCCGCGGCCUAUCAGCUUGUUGGUGAGGUAACGGCUCACCAAGGCGACGACGGGUAGCCGGCCUGAGAGGGCGACCGGCCACACUGGGACUGAGACACGGCCCAGACUCCUACGGGAGGCAGCAGUGGGGAAUAUUGCACAAUGGGCGAAAGCCUGAUGCAGCGACGCCGCGUGAGGGAUGACGGCCUUCGGGUUGUAAACCUCUUUCAGCAGGGAAGAAGCGAAAGUGACGGUACCUGCAGAAGAAGCGCCGGCUAACUACGUGCCAGCAGCCGCGGUAAUACGUAGGGCGCAAGCGUUGUCCGGAAUUAUUGGGCGUAAAGAGCUCGUAGGCGGCUUGUCACGUCGG
rnacentral:rRNA from 1 species